rnacentral:rRNA from 1 species
CUGGCGGCACGCCUAACACAUGCAAGUCGAACGCAGUAGCAAUACUGAGUGGCAAACGGGUGAGUAUAAUGUGGGAAUCUGCCUUUUGGUUUGGAAUAACACGGGGAAACUUGUGUUAAUACCGAAUAAGCCCUUACGGGGAAAGUUUUAACGCCGAAAGAUGAGCCCGCACUUGAUUAGCUAGUUGGUAAGGUAAAGGCUUACCAAGGCAACGAUCAAUAGCUGUUCUUAGAGGAAGACCAGCCACAUUGGGACUGAGACACGGCCCAGACUCCUACGGGAGGCAGCAGUGGGGAAUCUUGCACAAUGGGGGAAACCCUGAUGCAGCGAUGUCGCGUGAGUGAAGAAGGCCCUUGGGUUGUAAAACUCUUUCGUCGGGGAAGAAAAUGACUGUACCCGAAUAAGAAGGU